GGCCGAGGAUGCUUCGGGACGGCCGCGCCAGCGUCCCUCUGUCGUGACCGCGGCCGAGGCGGCCGGCUCCGCGCGGUCUUCUCCGCGCACGCGCCCCGAGACCUCCCGGCGCUGACAGCGCGAGCGCGCGGCCCGGCGGAGCAGCACGACGGACCCAGUGCUUCGCCUGCCACUCUGAUUGUUCCAUGUUCCUUUCCUGGUUUUCUUUCUUCUUCCAGCUGUGACCACUUCUCAAGGCUUUGUCUGAAUGUAUGACAGCAUGUCCACAAUGGUGUACAUAAAGGAUGACAAGUUGGAGAAGCUUACGCAGGAUGAAAUUAUUUCUAAGACAAAGCAAGUAAUUCAGGGGCUGGAAGCUCUGAAAAAUGAGCACAAUUCCAUUUUACAAAGUUUACUUGAGACACUGAAGUGUUUGAAGAAAGACGAUGAAAGUAAUCUGGUGGAAGAGAAAUCAAACAUGAUCCGAAAGUCACUGGAAAUGUUGGAGCUCGGCCUGAGUGAGGCACAGGUCAUGAUGGCUUUAUCCAAUCACCUGAAUGCUGUUGAGUCCGAGAAACAGAAACUGCGUGCGCAGGUUCGUCGGCUGUGCCAGGAGAAUCAGUGGCUGCGGGAUGAGUUGGCCAACACGCAGCAGAAAUUACAGAAGAGUGAGCAGUCUGUGGCUCAACUGGAGGAAGAAAAGAAGCAUCUGGAAUUCAUGAAUCAGUUAAAGAAAUACGAUGAUGACAUUUCUCCCUCUGAGGACAAAGACACUGAUUCCACCAAAGAACCUCUGGAUGACCUUUUCCCAAAUGACGAUGAUGAUCCUGGUCAAGGAAUCCAGCAACAGCAUAGCAGCGCAGCAGCAGCUGCCCAACAGGGUGGCUACGAGAUCCCUGCACGGCUGCGCACCCUGCACAACCUGGUCAUCCAGUACGCCUCACAGGGGCGCUACGAGGUGGCCGUGCCCCUCUGCAAGCAGGCCCUGGAGGACCUGGAGAAGACUUCUGGCCACGACCACCCAGAUGUGGCCACCAUGCUGAACAUCCUGGCCUUGGUGUACAGAGACCAGAAUAAGUACAAAGAUGCAGCCAAUCUACUGAAUGACGCCUUGGCCAUCCGUGAAAAAACUUUGGGCAAAGAUCAUCCUGCGGUGGCAGCAACUCUGAAUAACCUCGCAGUGCUUUACGGCAAAAGAGGGAAGUACAAGGAAGCCGAGCCUCUGUGCAAGAGAGCUCUGGAGAUCAGAGAAAAGGUUUUGGGAAAGGAUCACCCCGAUGUUGCCAAGCAAUUAAAUAACUUGGCCUUACUGUGCCAGAACCAGGGGAAAUACGAAGAAGUAGAGUAUUAUUAUCAGAGAGCCCUUGAGAUCUACCAAACAAAACUGGGGCCCGAUGACCCCAAUGUGGCCAAAACGAAAAAUAACCUGGCGUCCUGCUAUCUGAAGCAAGGAAAAUUCAAGCAAGCAGAAACACUGUACAAAGAGAUCCUCACGCGGGCACACGAAAGGGAGUUUGGUUCUGUAGAUGAUGAAAAUAAGCCCAUCUGGAUGCACGCUGAAGAAAGAGAAGAAUGCAAAGGAAAGCAAAAGGAUGGGGCAUCCUUUGGAGAAUAUGGCGGCUGGUACAAAGCCUGCAAAGUCGACAGUCCAACUGUUACAACUACUUUAAAAAACCUUGGGGCACUUUACAGACGUCAAGGCAAAUUUGAAGCUGCAGAAACAUUGGAAGAAGCAGCCAUGAGGUCACGUAAACAGGGUCUUGACAAUGUUCACAAACAGAGAGUAGCCGAAGUGCUGAACGACCCUGAGAACAUGGAGAGACGGAGAAGCCGGGAGAGCCUCAACGCAGACGUGGUCAAGUACGAGAGCGGCCCUGACGGAGGCGAGGAAGUGAGUAUGCGCGUAGAGUGGAGCGGGGAUGGCACUGGAUCUUUAAAACGCAGUGGUUCCUUUAGCAAACUCCGGGCUUCAAUUAGACGCAGCAGUGAGAAGCUGGUUAGGAAGCUGAAGGGAGGAAGUUCCCGAGAGAGUGAGCCGAAGAACCCCGGCGUGAAGCGUGCCAGUUCCCUGAACAUCCUUAACGUGGGUGGCAAGGCAGCUGAAGACCAUUUCCAAGUAAGGAACCCACACCACGAUGGCCCCUGACCCACCUAGACAAGGUCAGCUGUGCCGACCUCCCUUGGCACCACUGUCACCUCCAGGGCCUUGCAAACGUUUGAGUGGUUCUGAUCUUAGAAAUUGGCCUCAGAAUGGUAUUUUCAUACUCUGCAUUAACUUUGGGCGUCUCCAGUCGAGCCUCUUUUUGUGGAAAACGACAGCAGUAGCUACCUGGAAGACGCUCACCCUAACUGAAGCCAUGCUUGGCCCCGAGGGCCCGGAACGACACUGCUUGUGAGCGGCCAGAGCCGGCCCUGUGACGGCGGGGACGGCCGCUGAGGCGGAGGGCGUGGAGCUGGGCAUCCGCAGCACUGACCUCGUCUUCUCCCGCGUCCCUGCGGGGAGCAUGCUGUCCUUCUGACACCGCACUGCCUGGCCACCCUUGGCCCUUGACGGACAGCAGGGCGAGCAGCCUCCCUCCAGCCCUUCCAGGGAAGCCCCAGGCCGCCGCAGUCCUGAGCUUGGACUUGGAGGCCUUGAGUGCCAUUGCUCCUUGUCACUUCCCUGCACUACGUGUGAUAGUUUUAUUGUAAAUUUUUUUUUAAUUAAAACUUUAAACAACUUA